GUUAGUCUUUGGAGCCUGGGCAACUCCCAACAAUUUUGUUCUGAUCCUUUUCCUCUUCGAAUUCAGGUGGAAGACUCAAGGAUGGGGUUUUAAUUGAAAAAAUACUACUAUCAAAUGGAAGAAAAAGAAAAAUCUGUCUCUGACUGACCAGAGAUGCACAAUAGGCAUGCAGUACUGGAAGAGGAUAAACAGAACUCAGCUGACCUUCACCUAGAGAAUCCCACCCUGAGAAAAUUAACUUAUUGGCAAGAGAAAGAAAAUUUUGACUGCAAUAUUAAUGGCUAUGUGAAAGAAAACUGAAGUGAAAUUAUGAGGAUAGGUAAUCCAGAAUACUCAACAACUGAAUAUUGAAAAAUGAAGAUAAGAAAGGAAAAGGGAAGAGAUAAUUGCAACCUUGGAAAGAAUCGCAUUAGUCUCUUUAUUUUAUACCGUUUAGUGGGUGCUGGUCAGAGUGCCACAGAAGAAGAUACUGAGAUGAGAAUUAGUAUACAAGGAAUUUGUUUAGAAAAUUCUUCCCAGAAAAGCAAGGAAAUUGACAAUUAUAUACAAGUAUUUUAAAUGAAACUAGAGACAGCUACUGUAAAGGUAAAAUUUCUAAGCUGAUUCUAAGCUGCAAAAGUCUGAGUUAAAGUGUAAAAGACUGGACAUUGUAAAGCUUCUAAAUCGCAAGGCCUGGACUAAAAAGUAAAUGACGAGGUAUUGUUAAAAUUCCUCUGCUACCCCGGAACCUGUAAUCCCUGUAGCUGUUAGGACAAUACCUGAACUGCCCAGUAAAUAUUCCUCCUGGU